rnacentral:lncRNA from 1 species
CAACGGCCAGUCCCGCAUACAUAGUCAAAUGACCUCGCAAGGCCAUAGCACACUCAAAUAACGAACGACCACACUCGGCCUAAAACACUACACGAAAUCUUGAGAUAAAGGCAAAGGGAAAACAAUCCCGACGACCUUCAGAGAUCAAGGUCAAGAUACCCAGAAAUCGAGGCUCCAAAUGAGUCUGCGGGCUGAUCCACUUCUCCUCCCUCGUCCGCAGCAUCGGCUCCCGCUUCCGACGUGUCCUCCGAAACCUCGAUGGGUUCCCAAAGCUCUCGGAUCCUCCCCUCGAUUGGAGGAACCAUCGACUCGGCCUGGGCGCACCCAUCCAUGAGGCCUGACAUCUCAGCAACCUCGGAGAGAAAAGAGAAAUCAGCGUUCUGUAACUUCCAAAGGAUACCAACCGAACCGCGGCAUUCGCGGAAGUAACCCACGUAGUCUUGAGC